rnacentral:rRNA from 1 species
GGGGAAUCUGCCCUGAACUCUGGGACAAGCCUUGGAAACGAGGUCUAAUACCGGAUACGACCUUCUCCUGCAUGGGGGUUGGUGGAAAGCUCCGGCGGUUCAGGAUGAUCCCGCGGCCUAUCAGCUUGUUGGUGGGGUAAUGGCCUACCAAGGCGACGACGGGUAGCCGGCCUGAGAGGGCGACCGGCCACACUGGGACUGAGACACGGCCCAGACUCCUACGGGAGGCAGCAGUGGGGAAUAUUGCACAAUGGGCGAAAGCCUGAUGCAGCGACGCCGCGUGAGGGAUGACGGCCUUCGGGUUGUAAACCUCUUUCAGCAGGGAAGAAGCGCAAGUGACGGUACCUGCAGAAGAAGCACCGGCUAACUACGUGCCAGCAGCCGCGGUAAUACGUAGGGUGCGAGCGUUGUCCGGAAUUAUUGGGCGUAAAGAGCUCGUAGGCGGCCUGUCGCGUCGGAUGUGAAAGCCCGGGGCUUAACCCCGGGUCUGCAUUCGAUACGGGCAGGCUGGAGUGUGGUAGGGGAGAUCGGAAUUCCUGGUGUAGCGGUGAAAUGCGCAGAUAUCAGGAGGAACACCGGUGGCGAAGGCGGAUCUCUGGGCCAUUACUGACGCUGAGGAGCGAAAGCGUGGGGAGCGAACAGGAUUAGAUACCCUGGUAGUCCACGCCGUAAACGUUGGGAACUAGGUGUUGGCGACAUUCCACGUCG